rnacentral:rRNA from 1 species
UACCAGCACCCCGAGUGGUCGGGACGAUUAUUGGGCCUAAAGCAUCCGUAGCCGGUCCUACAAGUCUUCCGUUAAAUCCACCUGCUUAACAGAUGGGCUGCGGAAGAUACUAUAGGGCUAGGAGGCGGGAGAGGCAAGCGGUACUCAGUGGGUAGGGGUAAAAUCCUCUGAUCCACUGAAGACCACCAGUGGCGAAGGCGGCUUGCCAGAACGCGCUCGACGGUGAGGGAUGAAAGCUAGGGGAGCGAAUGGG